rnacentral:rRNA from 1 species
GGGCGAAAGCCUGAUGCAGCAACGCCGCGUGAGCGAUGAAGGCCUUUGGGUCGUAAAGCUCUGUCCUUGGGGAAGAAAAAAAUGACGGUACCCUUGGAGGAAGCCCCGGCUAACUACGUGCCAGCAGCCGCGGUAAUACGUAGGGGGCAAGCGUUAUCCGGAAUUAUUGGGCGUAAAGAGUGCGUAGGUGGUUUUGUAAGCGCGGGGUGAAAGGCAAUGGCUCAACUAUUGUAAGCCCUGCGAACUGUGAGACUUGAGUGCAGGAGAGGAAAGCGGAAUUUCUAGUGUAGCGGUGAAAUGCGUAGAUAUUAGGAGGAACACCAGUGGCGAAGGCGGCUUUCUGGACUGUAACUGACACUGAGGCACGAAAGCGUGGGGAGCAAACAGGAUUAGAUACCCUGGUAGUCCACGCCGUAAACGAUGAGCACUAGGUGUCGGGGCCGCAAGGUUUCGGUGCCGCAGUUAACGCAUUAAGUGCUCCGCCUGGGGAGUAC